rnacentral:rRNA from 1 species
UACGUAGGGUGCAAGCGUUGUCCGGAAUUAUUGGGCGUAAAGAGCUCGUAGGCGGUGUGUCACGUCGGCCGUGAAAACCUGGGGCUUAACUCUGGGCGUGCGGUCGAUACGGGCAUCACUAGAGUUCGGCAGGGGAGACUGGAAUUCCUGGUGUAGCGGUGAAAUGCGCAGAUAUCAGGAGGAACACCGGUGGCGAAGGCGGGUCUCUGGGCCGAUACUGACGCUGAGGAGCGAAAGCAUGGGUAGCGAACAGG